rnacentral:rRNA from 1 species
AUUCCAGCUCCAAGAGCGUAUAUUAAAGUUGCUGCGGUUAAAAAGCUCGUAGUUGGAUUUCAGUCUAGGAAGGUUAACUCGCCGAAAGGUUGUACGUUGAUUUUCCUCAGACUUCGUCAGAAGCUCGUGCUGCACUUAACUGUGUGGUACGAUGUUCUGACCUUUUACCUUGAGGAAAGUAGAGUGUUUCAGGCAGGCUACCCAGCUUGAAUACAUUAGCAUGGAAUAAUGAAAUGGAUCUCGGUUCGAUUUCGUUGGUUCUAGAGCUGAGGUGAUGAUCAAUAGGAACAGGCGAAGGUAUUCGUACUUGAGAGUGAGGAGUGAAAUCCGAUGAUCUCUUAAAGACGAUCCGAGGCGAAAGCAUUUGUCAAGGAUGUUUUCAUCG